rnacentral:SRP_RNA from 1 species
GGAGGUCGGCCGCGGACGAACCGCUCGCCAACCCGGUCAGGUCCGGAAGGAAGCAGCCGUAACGAGUUUAUGUUUCGGGUCGCGUGUUCGGUCUCCCAC